GAUGAACGCUGGCGGCGUGCCUAAUACAUGCAAGUAGAACGCUGAAGGAGGAGCUUGCUCUUCUGGAUGAGUUGCGAACGGGUGAGUAACGCGUAGGUAACCUGCCUGGUAGCGGGGGAUAACUAUUGGAAACGAUAGCUAAUACCGCAUAACAGUAGAUACUGCAUGAUAUCUGCUUGAAAGGGGCAAUUGCUCCACUACCAGAUGGACCUGCGUUGUAUUAGCUAGUUGGUGAGAUAACGGCUCACCAAGGCGACGAUACAUAGCCGACCUGAGAGGGUGAUCGGCCACACUGGGACUGAGACACGGCCCAGACUCCUACGGGAGGCAGCAGUAGGGAAUCUUCGGCAAUGGACGGAAGUCUGACCGAGCAACGCCGCGUGAGUGAAGAAGGUUUUCGGAUCGUAAAGCUCUGUUGUAAGAGAAGAACGAGUGUGAGAGUGGAAAGUUCACACUGUGACGGAACUACCAGAAAG
rnacentral:rRNA from 1 species